GCGGUACCGGUUCACGCCACGAGGGCCCUGCUGACGGCAGGAUGCCCGGCGACCCGGCGACC
rnacentral:ncRNA from 1 species